UUUCGAGACAGGAAUAGGGGACAUGAGAGUUGGUGUAGAAUAAGGAGUAGAGUCUGUCCUGAGGAACUUCCUGUCAACAAAGGAGAUGUGUGUGCUGACCUGUGACAGGGGCCAUGCACAGUCUAGAGCAGGAACAAACCUCCCCUGAAGUGCAGAGUGGGAGGGAGCUAGGAAGAGCCAGCAAUGAGGAGGAGAGGGCCUGCUCUGAUGGUUCCUACCAUGUGUCAAGGCACACAAGUAGGAUGUUGACUUGGAAAUAACAUCAUGUUCUUUCCUACAGAUCUGGGGUGAAGCAGGAGAAAGAUGCAGCACUAUUGGUCAGUGGAGUCCCAUCCUCCUCAGUGCUGACCUCCUUCAUCCAGGCUUCCCAUGGUGCCUCCCACCUCCUGAUCCAAGAAUUCUGCAUCAUUUUUCCAUCUCAUAGAGGCAUUUAUAACUGAUACUUGACCUUGCAUUAACAUUGUUCUGCUCCAGUGUGGGAAGGACGCCUUCCAGUUAGGGAGCAGCUCACUGAUUUGGCAAGGGGAAAUGAACUCGACAGGGAAUCCAGGGUCCUAAUCUGUGUGAAUCAUGCACCUGAAGGUAAGAUUGAGUACAGUAAGUAUCUGUGUGUGGCAGAAGAUAAGUCUCUGAAGUCUGGUCUUGAUGUGCUGAAAAGGAUCUCAUGAAGUGUAAUGUGCCAGCAUCCCCGACACAAAGGUAAAUUUAUCAUUGACUUGCUCAACUGAAGAGCAAUGGGAGACUGAGAGACUGCAGAGGUGUGACAAGGGAGGAACCAGCUUCUCUGCUGUAGUUGGCCUCCAGCUCCACUCUGACCAUCUGAUCCUGGGCUGUUAGCAAACACUGAUGCAUGUUAAAGUCUUUGGCCGGAUCUUCCCAGUGGAUGAUAGCCAGCUUGUGCUGUCACUGACUUCUAGAACCCUGACCAUCUGGUGAGUCCCAAGUGCACAAUACAAGAUCAGUCAGUUUGUUCAGGAAGAGAGAGAGAGAAAUGUUCAGUUUGUGGCUAUCACCUGGUGUCAGACUGUGUUUCUGCUGCAUAUCAGUGAAGGCAGGGCUGAGAAAUGGUUGAGAAGUCUGUUAAUGAGAUAGGGAUAUUUCGUGACUCCUCAUUUU